AUCGGCGCUGCUGCGGGUGAGUGUAUCCUGCGGAAGGAAGAAGGCAGGGUACCGAAUCUGGGGAUGCAGGGCUAGGAGAAAGGGAAGCUGUGGAAACCUGCAAGCAGGUUUAAAUCCGAGCCCUACUGGGGCCACCCCAAGGCUUGAAAUCACCUCUCCACUCUGGAUGCUGGAGUUAAGGCUCUCGUUCCUCACCUGGGGUUUGGAAUAUGCCCAGAGUAGGUGAGUAGAUCCUCGGAGUUGGGGCAUGACCGGCGCUGAGCCUUUCUCUAGUCCUGUCUUAGAUACCAUCCCUCAAGCUCUUUGUUACCAUGGCUGCCAGGCUGUGGGAGAGGCGGGGAUGACCCACAGCCCAAGUCUGUCGUCAGUGGCGCCCAAAUAAGAAGCAAAAGAGGGAAGCAGUUGGUUGUCUAGCCACCACAGACGGAGCCUGGGGCUCCACAUUCGGACAUGAGACACCACGCGUGCUCUUUACAUACAUCAUUACAAACCUUAUGAAACAGGUACCAUUAUCAUCCCUCCCAGAGGGGGAAACUGAAACCCAGACAGAAAGCACCUUGCUAGGAGGGUUGCUCAGUGACCAAGUUGACAGUCCAAACAAGGCAGCCCCAUUCUGGAACUUCUGCCUUACUCUGUGAUGCUGACUUCAAUGCUUCAUCGUGAGGUUGAGCCCGACUCUGUGCCAGGGGCUGGCUAGGCACUGGUGUGACAGAGGUGUUUGGUCUGGGAGCCGGUUGCAUGCUGUACAUGUGCUGUGUAAGACCCAUACCAUGGGGGAGCAGAGGCCAGAAGGCCAUAUCUCAGAGGCCAGAAAAGACUUUCUUCUACCCGU
rnacentral:lncRNA from 1 species